rnacentral:rRNA from 1 species
ACACAUGCAAGUCGAACGAGCGAGAGAGAGCUUGCUUUCUCGAGCGAGUGGCGAACGGGUGAGUAACGCGUGAGGAAUCUGCCUCAAAGAGGGGGACAACAGUUGGAAACGACUGCUAAUACCGCAUAAGCCCACGGUGCCGCAUGGCACAGAGGGAAAAGGAGUAAUCCGCUUUGAGAUGGCCUCGCGUCCGAUUAGCUAGUUGGUGAGGUAACGGCCCACCAAGGCGACGAUCGGUAGCCGGACUGAGAGGUUGAACGGCCACAUUGGGACUGAGACACGGCCCAGACUCCUACGGGAGGCAGCAGUGGGGAAUAUUGCACAAUGGGGGAAACCCUGAUGCAGCGACGCCGCGUGGAGGAAGAAGGUCUUCGGAUUGUAAACUCCUGUUGUUGGGGAAGAUAAUGACGGUACCCAACAAGGAAGUGACGGCUAACUACGUGCCAGCAGCCGCGGUAAAACGUAGGUCACGAGCGUUGUCCGGAAUUACUGGGUGUAAAGGGAGCGCAGGCGGGAAGACAAGUUGGAAGUGAAAUCUAUGGGCUCAACCCAUAAACUGCUUUCAAAACUGUUUUUCUUGGGUAGUGCAGAGGUGGGCGGAAUUCCCGGUGUAGCGGUGGAAUGCGUAGAUAUCGGGAGGAACACCAGUGGCGAAGGCGGCCUACUGGGCACCAACUGACGCUGAGGCUCGAAAGUGUGGGUAGCAAACAGGAUUAGAUACCCUGGUAGUCCACACCGUAAA